rnacentral:rRNA from 1 species
UACAGAGGUCUCAAGCGUUGUUCGGAUUCAUUGGGCGUAAAGGGUGCGUAGGCGGCGGGGCAAGUCGGAUGUGAAAUCUCAGGGCUCAACCCUGAAACUGCAUUCGAUACUGCCUUGCUCGAGGACUGGAGAGGAGAUUGGAAUUCACGGUGUAGCAGUGAAAUGCGUAGAUAUCGUGAGGAAGACCAGUGGCGAAGGCGGAUCUCUGGACAGUUCCUGACGCUGAGGCACGAAAGCCAGGGGAGCAAACGGG